CUGAUGUGGACCACAUUGCCACCUGGCUGUUUGCUGCUCUGCUGCAUCCACAGGUCUGGUCCUCAGAUCAUCCUUUGAUGUUGCUGUCAGCUCCCUGUCUAACAGGAACAUUUAACUGGAUUGAGAAGACACCACAGCUGCAGGCUGAACUAUAGUCACUGAAGGCUGAACUUUCAGCAGAAUAAAGGGCAAGCACACUGGAACGUAUACAAGCAGCAGCCUGAAUGGAGCCGUGCCUUUGAUGACCUCUGG